CCAGGCCACUCAGGCCAAGAGCAUGUGAGGAAGGAAAGACGAUUGGUUUAUAUCAAUUAACACCCGCCCCCACAGUCCGUAUCAACCACACAGAGCGCACUUUGAACAUGGUAAAAAUAAGAGGAAAGGCGGUGCGGAGAGGGAC